CCUACGGGUGGCAGCAGUGGGGAAUAUUGGACAAUGGGCGAGAGCCUGAUCCAGCCAUGCCGCGUGUGUGAAGAAGGCCUUCGGGUUGUAAAGCACUUUCAGUGGGGAAGAAAGCCUUGGGGCUAAUACCCUCGAGGAAGGACAUCACCCACAGAAGAAGCACCGGCUAACUCCGUGCCAGCAGCCGCGGUAAUACGGAGGGUACGAGCGUUAAUCGGAAUUACUGGGCGUAAAGCGCGCGUAGGCGGUCUGAUAAGCCGGUUGUGAAAGCCCCGGGCUCAACCUGGGAACGGCAUCCGGAACUGUCAGGCUAGAGUGCAGGAGAGGAAGGUAGAAUUCCCGGUGUAGCGGUGAAAUGCGUAGAGAUCGGGAGGAAUACCAGUGGCGAAGGCGGCCUUCUGGACUGACACUGACGCUGAGGUGCGAAAGCGUGGGUAGCAAACAGGAUUAGAUACCCUGGUAGUC
rnacentral:rRNA from 1 species